AUUGAACGCUGGCGGCAUGCCUUACACAUGCAAGUCGAACGGCAGCGCGGGAGCAAUCCUGGUGGCGAGUGGCGAACGGGUGAGUAAAGUAUCGGAACGUGCCCAGUCGUGGGGGAUAACGUAGCGAAAGUUACGCUAAUACCGCAUACGAUCUAUGGAUGAAAGCGGGGGAUCGCAAGACCUCGCGCGAUUGGAGCGGCCGAUAUCAGAUUAGGUAGUUGGAGGGGUAAAGGCUCACCAAGCCGACGAUCUGUAGCUGGUCUGAGAGGACGACCAGCCACACUGGGACUGAGGCACGGCCCAGACUCCUACGGGAGGCAGCAGUGGGGAACUUUGGACAAUGGGCGAAAGCCUGAUCCAGCCAUGCCGCGUGCAGCAUGAAGGCCUUCGGGUUGUAAACUGCUUUUGUACGGAACGAAAAGGUUUGGCCUAAUAAGCUGAGCUCAUGACGGUACCGUAAGAAUAAGCACCUGCUAACUACGUGCCAGCCGCCGCCGUAA
rnacentral:rRNA from 1 species